GAUUAACGCUGGCGGCGUGCCUAACACAUGCAAGUCGAGCGGCAGCGAGUUUUACACUGACUUCUGGAAGCUUCUAGUUGAAAGAGAAGAUUUAUUCAAGAAUUUUGUGUAAAAUGUCGGCAAGCGGCGGACGGCUGAGUAACGCGUGGGAACGUACCCCAAAGUGAGGGAUAACGCAUCGAAAGGUGUGCUAAUACCGCAUAUGGUCUUCGGAUUAAAGCCUUCGGGCGCUUUGGGAACGGCCUGCGUAAGAUUAGAUAGUUGGUGGGGUAAUGGCCUACCAAGUCGACGAUCUUUAACUGGUUUGAGAGGAUGAUCAGUCAGACUGGAACUGAGACACGGUCCAGACUCCUACGGGAGGCAGCAGUGAGGAAUCUUCCACAAUGGGCGAAAGCCUGAUGGUGCAACGCCGCGUGCAGGAUGAAGGCCUUCGGGUUGUAAACUGCUUUUAUAAGUGAGGAUUAUGACAGUAACUUAUGAAUAAGGAUCGGCUAACUACGUG
rnacentral:rRNA from 1 species